AUUGAACGCUGGCGGUCAUGCCUUACACAUGCAAGUCGAACGGCAGGCACGGGGGCAACCCUGGUGGCGAGUGGCGAACGGGGUGAGUAAUACAUCGGAAUGUACCCAGUAGUGGGGGAUAACUAGUCGAAAGAUUAGCCUAAUACCGCAUACGCACUAUGGUGGAAAGCGGGGGAUCGCAAGACCUCGCGCUAUUGGAGCAGCCGAUGUCCGAUUAGGUAGUUGGUGGGGUAAAGGCCUACCAAGCCUGCCGAUCGGUAACUGGGUCUGAGAGGACGACCAGUCACACUGGGACUGAGACACGGCCCAGACUCCUACGGGAGGCAGCAGUGGGGAAUUUUGGACAAUGGGGGGAACCCUGAUCCAGCCAUGCCGCGUGCAGGAUGAAGGCCUUCGGGUUGUAAACUGCUUUUGUACGGAACGAAAAGGUCUUUUCUAAUAAAGAAGGCUGAUGACGGUACCGUAAGAAUAAGCACCGGCUAACUACGUG
rnacentral:rRNA from 1 species